rnacentral:snRNA from 1 species
AUCACUUCUCGGCCUUUUGGCUAAGAUCAAGUGUAGGAAAGACUUGCUUUGUGGGGAGAGGUGGGCCACUGAGAAUUGAGCUCAGUGUCCCUGACUGACCUGCCCUGUGCUGUGUGCGGUGUCAUGGCUCCCUCUGGUGGCCACGGAUUUGCAGUGCGCUCUGCGUUCUGCUGGAGACCU